rnacentral:lncRNA from 1 species
GAAGAGAAAAAAAAAUAAAAAUAAAACUAGUGCCCCCUUUUGCUCUGCUAGGGUUUCAUCCCUAGCAUCCUUGCACCGCCGUUCGAUUGCGCCAACGCUCCGAUCGCGACGGAGUUGACAACAAUCCGGCAACUUCAACGAAGAAGGUAAGAUCCCUUCCUUCUUUUCUUGGUUACUUUAAGUGAAAUAAAAUGAAAGUAAAGAUAAAAGAAAAAUGUAAAUAAAGAUGAUAGUCACUGCAAAAGAAAAAAAAACUAAAAGAAUCACCUUUAAAAAAAAACUCGAAUUUUCUGUUCUCUAUUGAAUUUUUCCCUCUGUAUUCUCUCAAUACCAAAAAAUCCCCCCUAAUCACUGUACAAAUUUGGCUUUAUAUAGCCCGAUAAAUGCUUUACUUUUACAAUAAUUUUCUUCUGGACUCUUAGUCCAUGCUUGUAGGUAUUGUGGGAGUAUGGCGCGGGAAAGGGGCUCCGAGACGUGCGCAUGGAGGCCGAAACUUGCGGCGGUUAGGGGCUAUUUUUGCUGGGUUAGGGUUGAAAUUGGCUAUUAGGCCCGAUAUUGGGCCUGCUAUUGCUUUUGUUGUGUUUGUUUUAUUAUUUGUAGGGCCUGGGUCGAUUGGGUCCUAUUACAAACAGAAUUACAAUUAUGUUUUAUGAAUAUGUAGAUAAAGACCAAAAAUUAAAGCAAAAUUUUAACAUCCACUGAAGAAAUGAUGUAAUAAUUAGAAGGCG